rnacentral:lncRNA from 1 species
UUAAAUGGGCCAACAGGCCCAAUUCGGUAAAAACGUUCGGUAAGUGUUUCUGUUAAUACGUUAGUAACCGUAAUGAGCAUGAAACCCUAAAAAGACUGAUAAAAUUACUCAAAUACCUCUGUAAGGUAGAAUUACCGUAACACCCCUAAAGGGGGUAAGUUUACGAUUAUGCCCCUCGAGGGUAAAUAAUUGUUCUUAC